AAGGUUCGGGUCUGUGGUUGAAAACCGAUGCCAGUCGCAGGCAAAACGGUCCACGUAAGCUGGGGAAAUUCCCGGUGAGCACGGUGCGGUUUAGAAGUAAGUCCGGCCGGACGACAGUCCGAGAGAGCGCAGUGGGGGCCAGUAAAGGCUAUGAGCAAAGCUCCUGCCGGCGAGUGUGGGGUCAAAAACCAGGUCAGCCAAUCCUU
rnacentral:ncRNA from 1 species